rnacentral:tRNA from 1 species
GCGCCCAUAGCUCAGAUGGAUAGAGCGUCAGACUCCGACUCUGAAGGCCGCUGGUUCAAUUCCAGUUGGGCGUACCA